rnacentral:rRNA from 1 species
UACAGAGGGUGCAAGCGUUAAUCGGAAUUACUGGGCGUAAAGCGCACGUAGGUGGCUUGAUAAGUUGGGUGUGAAAUCCCCGGGCUUAACCUGGGAAUUGCAUUCAAGGCUGUCUUGCUAGAGUGUGGAAGAGGGAAGCGGAAUUCCAGGUGUAGCGGUGAAAUGCGUAGAUAUCUGGAGGAACAUCAGUGGCGAAGGCGGCUUCCUGGUCCAACACUGACACUGAGGUGCGAAAGCGUGGGGAGCAAACAGG